GGAAAUUUGAUGAUGCAAACGUGAGCUUUCGCCCUCCAAGAACUCGCGGUAGGGAAGGUGAUGGCGUCCUGAAAAUGAAGAAAGGGGAAAACCCGCGCCGCCUCGCCCCCCGCCUCCAUCUAGACUUCAGGACGUCCAGGUAUCAUGUUCUGAGCCACGCCAGUCUUCCACCAUGAUGUUCAGCCUUACCUCUGGCCCCAAAGAAUGGAGUUGGCAUUCCAUGGACUAAGACAUCUGGAAACAUGUGCCUCCAAAUAAACUUUUCCUCCUCUAA